GUAAAAAAGAGAUACAUAUGCUAAAAUUGGAAUAAUACAAAAUAGAUUAGCAUGGCCCCUGCUCAAGGAUGACAUGCAAAUUCAUGAAGAAUCCUGUACUUAG
ensembl:snRNA U6 U6 spliceosomal RNA